rnacentral:rRNA from 1 species
GACGAACGCUGGCGGCGUGCUUAACACAUGCAAGUCGAGCGGUAAGGCCCUUUCGGGGGUACACGAGCGGCGAACGGGUGAGUAACACGUGGGUGACCUGCCCUCAGCUCUGGGAUAAGCCUGGGAAACCGGGUCUAAUACCGGAUAUGACUCCAUGACGCAUGUUGUGGGGUGGAAAGCCUUGUGCGGCUGAGGAUGGGCCCGCGGCCUAUCAGCUUGUUGGUGGGGUGAUGGCCUACCAAGGCGACGACGGGUAGCCGGCCUGAGAGGGCGACCGGCCACACUGGGACUGAGACACGGCCCAGACUCCUACGGGAGGCAGCAGUGGGGAAUCUAGCGCAAUGGGCGAAAGCCUGACGCAGCGACGCCGCGUGAGGGAUGACGGCCUCGGUGUAACU